UCUCACACAAGCAUUUGCAUUACACCAGAAACACACAGGAAAACAAAUCACAGAACAUUCUGAAGCAGUAUUCACACACCAGGAGCGAGUAAAGCAAGGUUCAGAAUUAGAAAUGUGACAGCAUCCAACAAUGAAACAAUCCGACUCCUG